rnacentral:rRNA from 1 species
GAUGAACGCUGGCGGCGUGCCUAAUACAUGCAAGUCGAGCGAACGGACGAGAAGCUUGCUUCUCUGAUGUUAGCGGCGGACGGGUUAGUAACACGUGGAUAACCUACCUUUAAGACUGGGAUAACUUCGGGAAACCGGAGCUAAUACCGGAUAAUAUUUUGAACCGCAUGGUUCAAAAGUGAAAGACGGUCUUGCUGUCACUUAUAGAUGGAUCCGCGCUGCAUUAGCUAGUUGGUAAGGUAACGGCUUACCAAGGCAACGAUGCAUAGCCGACCUGAGAGGGUGAUCGGCCACACUGGAACUGAGACAAGGUCCAGACUCCUACGGGAGGCAGCAGUAGGGAAUCUUCCGCAAUGGGCGAAAGCCUGACGGAGCAACGACGCGUGAGUGAUGAAGGUCUUCGGAUCGUAAAACUCUGUUAUUAGGGAAGAACAUAUGUGUAAGUAACUGUGCAAAUCUUGACGGUACCUAAUCAGAAAGCCAAGGCUAACUACGUG